rnacentral:rRNA from 1 species
GACGAACGCUGGCGGCGUGCUUAACACAUGCAAGUCGGACGGAAAGGCCCUGCUUUUGUGGGGUGCUCGAGUGGCGAACGGGUGAGUAACACGUGAGUAACCUGCCCUUGACUUUGGGAUAACUUCAGGAAACUGGGGCUAAUACCGGAUAGGAGCUCCUGCUUCAUGGUGGGGGUUGGAAAGUUUCGGCGGUUGGGGAUGUACUCGCGGCUUAUCAGCUUGUUGGUGGGGUAGUGGCUUACCAAGGCUUUGACGGGUAGCCGGCCUGAGAGGGUGACCGGCAACAUUGGGACUGAGAUACGGCCCAGACUCCUACGGGAGGCAGCAGUGGGGAAUAUUGCACAAUGGGCGGAAGCCUGAUGCAGCAACGCCGCGUGCGGGAUGACGGCCUUCGGGUUGUAAACCGCUUUCGCCUGUGACGAAGCGUGAGUGACGGUAAUGGGUAAAGAAGCACCGGCUAACUACGUG